rnacentral:rRNA from 1 species
CAUGCAAGUCGAGCGGAAAGGCCCUUCGGGGUACUCGAGCGGCGAACGGGUGAGUAACACGUGAGCAACCUGCCCUAGGCUUUGGGAUAACCCCGGGAAACCGGGGCUAAUACCGGAUAGGACCACCGGUCGCAUGGUUGGUGGUGGAAAGUUUUUCGGCCUGGGAUGGGCUCGCGGCCUAUCAGCUUGUUGGUGGGGUGAUGGCCUACCAAGGCGACGACGGGUAGCCGGCCUGAGAGGGCGACCGGCCACACUGGGACUGAGACACGGCCCAGACUCCUACGGGAGGCAGCAGUGGGGAAUAUUGCACAAUGGGCGGAAGCCUGAUGCAGCGACGCCGCGUGAGGGAUGACGGCCUUCGGGUUGUAAACCUCUUUCAGCAGGGACGAAGCGUAAGUGACGGUACCUGCAGAAGAAGCGCCGGCCAACUACGUGCCAGCAGCCG